rnacentral:rRNA from 1 species
UACGUAGGGUCCAAGCGUUGUCCGGAUUUAUUGGGCGUAAAGAGCUCGUAGGCGGUUCGGUAAGUCGGAUGUGAAAACUCAGGGCUCAACCCGGAGACGCCAUCCGAUACUGCUGUGACUGGAGUCUGGUAGGGGAUCACGGAAUACCUGGUGUAGCGGUGAAAUGCGCAGAUAUCAGGUGGAACACCGGUGGCGAAGGCGGGUCUCUGGGCCGAUACUGACGCUGAGGAGCGAAAGCGUGGGGAGCGAACAGG